rnacentral:rRNA from 1 species
CGAACGGGAUCCAUCAAGCUUGCUUGGUGGUGAGAGUGGCGAACGGGUGAGUAAUGCGUGACCGACCUGCCCCAUACACCGGAAUAGCUCCUGGAAACGGGUGGUAAUGCCGGAUGCUCCAGUUGAUCGCAUGGUCUUCUGGGAAAGCUUUCGCGGUAUGGGAUGGGGUCGCGUCCUAUCAGCUUGACGGCGGGGUAACGGCCCACCGUGGCUUCGACGGGUAGCCGGCCUGAGAGGGCGACCGGCCACAUUGGGACUGAGAUACGGCCCAGACUCCUACGGGAGGCAGCAGUGGGGAAUAUUGCACAAUGGGCGCAAGCCUGAUGCAGCGACGCCGCGUGAGGGAUGGAGGCCUUCGGGUUGUAAACCUCUUUUAUCGGGGAGCAAGCGAGAGUGAGUUUACCCGUUGAAUAAGCACCGGCUAACUACGUGCCAGCAGCCGCGGUAAUACGUAGGGUGCAAGCGUUAUCCGGAAUUAUUGGGCGUAAAGGGCUCGUAGGCGGUUCGUCGCGUCCGGUGUGAAAGUCCAUCGCUUAACGGUGGAUCCGCGCCGGGUACGGGCGGGCUUGAGUGCGGUAGGGGAGACUGGAAUUCCCGGUGUAACGGUGGAAUGUGUAGAUAUCGGGAAGAACACCAAUGGCGAAGGCAGGUC